rnacentral:rRNA from 1 species
UGGGGAAUAUUGCGCAAUGGGCGAAAGCCUGACGCAGCGACGCCGCGUGAGGGACGACGGCCUUCGGGUUGUAAACCUCUUUCAGCAGGGACGAAGCGAAAGUGACGGUACCUGCAGAAGAAGCACCGGCCAACUACGUGCCAGCAGCCGCGGUAAUACGUAGGGUGCAAGCGUUGUCCGGAAUUAUUGGGCGUAAAGAGCUCGUAGGCGGUCUGUCACGUCGGAUGUGAAAACUCGGGGCUCAACCCCGAGCCUGCAUACGAUACGGGCAGACUUGAGUUCGGCAGGGGAGACUGGAAUUCCUGGUGUAGCGGUGAAAUGCGCAGAUAUCAGGAGGAACACCGGUGGCGAAGGCGGGUCUCUGGGCCGAUACUGACGCUGAGGAGCGAAAGCGUGGGGAGCGAACA